UGGCCGAAAAGAGGCGAGAAGAAAAUAUCGGACGGAGACGACAGGAGGGAAGAACGGGAAAGAAGUACUGGUUUUGAGGUUAUUUGUUUUGUGCUGCAUGCUGUGUUAAAGCUGUUCGAUGAUGGAUGCGAAGGAUCCUCCCGAGGAACCAACAACAGCUUCCAAAGAUGAACCUGUUCAGUUUGAUCCAAGCCGAAUGAUUGGCAUCAUCAAAAGGAAGGCUUUGAUAAAAGAACUUGCUUCUUCUUACCAUAAUGAGUGUCUUGCCUAUUGCCAGGAGCUUCUGCAACUUCAAAGAAAGUGGGAAGAGCAACAGUAUAUUGAAAGAAAAACUUCCGAGGAUGCUAGAAAGCAGGUGGUGAUGAAGCCCUCUAAACGUCCGAAGAAGGGUGUCUCUAGGAAUCUCUGACUUAAAAGUUUUCUAUCUGUACUAUAUUUUCUUCACUGUGUGAUUGUGUAGUCUCUUACUUUGUAGAUAGAUUUCUGGCUCGUUAUAUUACAUAAAUGCUGAUUGUAAGGACUCAUGUUUUGCAUUAGCAUGCACAUAACUUAUCUGUUAUCAUAAAAUUCUGGGCCUCACGUAA